CGGAGGGGGCAAGCGUUGUUCGGAAUUACUGGGCGUAAAGGGCGCGCAGGCGGCUUGGCAAGUUGGGCGUGAAAGCCCUGGGCUUAACCCAGGAAUUGCGCUUGAGACUGCCGGGCUUGAGUGCGGGAGAGGUGAGUGGAAUUCCCAGUGUAGAGGUGAAAUUCGUAGAUAUUGGGAAGAACACCAGUGGCGAAGGCGGCUCACUGGCCCGCAACUGACGCUGAGGCGCGAAAGCGUGGGGAGCAAACAGGAUUAGAUACCCUGGUAGUCCACGCUGUAAACGAUGGGUGCUAGACGUCGGGGGACUUGGUCCCUGGGCGUCGCAGCUAACGCAUGAAGCACCCCGCCUGGGGAGUACGGCCGCAAGGUUA
rnacentral:rRNA from 1 species